UGGGGAAUUUUGGACAAUGGGCGAAAGCCUGAUCCAGCAAUGCCGCGUGUGUGAAGAAGGCCUUCGGGUUGUAAAGCACUUUUGUCCGGAAAGAAAUCCUUGGCUCUAAUACAGUCGGGGGAUGACGGUACCGGAAGAAUAAGCACCGGCUAACUACGUGCCAGCAGCCGCGGUAAUACGUAGGGUGCAAGCGUUAAUCGGAAUUACUGGGCGUAAAGCGUGCGCAGGCGGUUUGCUAAGACCGAUGUGAAAUCCCCGGGCUCAACCUGGGAACUGCAUUGGUGACUGGCAGGCUAGAGUAUGGCAGAGGGGGGUAGAAUUCCACGUGUAGCAGUGAAAUGCGUAGAGAUGUGGAGGAAUACCGAUGGCGAAGGCAGCCCCCUGGGCCAAUACUGACGCUCAUGCACGAAAGCGUGGGGAGCAAACAGGAUUAGAUACCCUGGUAGUCCACGCCCUAAACGAUGUCAACUAGUUGUUGGGAAUUCAUUUCCUUAGUAACGUAGCUAACGCGUGAAGUUGACCGCCUGGGGAGUACGGUCGCAAGAUUAAAACUCAAAUGAAUUGACGGGGUCAUAGCUGUUUCCU
rnacentral:rRNA from 1 species